CGCAAAGUCCUUUCCUUCCAACAGUUGGCACAUGGCAGUUGACAGUUGGCACUGUAAAAAAGACAGUCUAAAUGAACAGAAGAAAUGAAGCACACUAAUUCCUUAAGGAAUGAAGAUGGAGAGCAGGCAGAGUUGUGAUUAUUUGAAAACCACGAGAAGUGGCUUAAACCACAAUUCAAAACUUAUUUGGAAGUAAAGCUCUCACUGGGGCACACCUCCUGUUUUUCUCCACCAAGUGGCACUCUUGCUGCUCAGGCACCCUCUUCAUCUGCUGAAGCAACUGGCUUCUCUGUCUCCACUCUUUCCUUCUUCCAGAAAAGAAAAUGGAGGAGAGGACAGUGGCAGAAGAGAUAACUUCCUGUCAAUUUUCUCUCAUGAUAUUACUUUAGAAGAAACUGAGUUGCAAUUUAGGGAUGAAACCCCCCCCCCCAUCUGUAGCCAACUUCCCUUCCCAAGUGGGGGUGCCACAUUUCUAGGUGAGGCUACAAUUAAAUGAAUGGAAAACCAGCAAUUUCCUCAUAACCAUCAGAAAUUUCAAUGUCCAUUGCCAAUUUCAGGUGCCUAUAUGUAUGCAAGUGUCUAUGAACAUAUAUCAGAAACAUAUUUGUUGAAUAAAAGCA